AGCUCUAAACUGGGAAAACAGGAACUGUAACUGUUGAGGUGUUUCUCUUCAUUAAUUUGCAUGUGCCCUGUUUUUAUUUAGUGGGGAGGUGUGUGCACAAUAUGUAUGCAAGAGUAAUUUAGCACGUCAGCUAUUUCCUACGAGUCGCUGUUGCUGACUCACAAGUCUGCUGCAGCUCUCAGCUGGCCUGACUGUAAACUGCCCACAAGGGAAGACCAAGACUUUAAGAACUCUGAGUGCCAUGGAGUUGCUCAGGGGUUAUUUUCAGUUCUGUGGUCACUGGUCGGCCGGCUUCUCUUCCUCUUCCAACAGCCAAAACACAAUCUUUUGGUUGAGUAGUAGAACAUCAGACUUUCGCCUGUGUGUGUUUCAGCCUAAUGGAGGUCUCUGA
rnacentral:lncRNA from 1 species